rnacentral:rRNA from 1 species
AUACGGAGGGUGCAAGCGUUACUCGGAAUUACUGGGCGUAAAGGACGCGUAGGCGGUUUAGAAAGUCAGAUGUGAAAGCUUAUGGCUUAACCAUAGAACUGCAUCUGAAACUCCUAGACUAGAGUGAGGGAGAGGUCAGUGGAAUUAGUGGUGUAGGGGUAAAAUCCGUAGAGAUCACUAGGAAUACUCAUAGCGAAGGCGACUGACUGGAACUUUACUGACGCUGAGGCGUGAAAGCGUGGGGAGCAAACAGGAUUAGAUACCCCUGUAGUCC